rnacentral:rRNA from 1 species
UGGGGAAUAUUGCACAAUGGGGGAAACCCUGAUGCAGCGACGCCGCGUGAGCGAAGAAGGUUUUCGAAUCGUAAAGCUCUGUCCUAUGGGAAGAUAAUGACGGUACCAUAGGAGGAAGCCCCGGCUAACUACGUGCCAGCAGCCGCGGUAAUACGUAGGGGGCAAGCGUUGUCCGGAAUCACUGGGCGUAAAGGGUUCGCAGGCGGAAAUGCAAGUCAGUUGUGAAAGGCAGAGGCUCAACCUCUGUAAGCAAUUGAAACUGUAUUUCUUGAGAUGUGGAGAGGCAAGUGGAAUUCCUAGUGUAGUGGUGAAAUGCGUAGAUAUUAGGAAGAAUACCGGUGGCGAAGGCGACUUGCUGGACACAAACUGACGCUGAGGAACGAAAGCGUGGGUAGCAAACAGG